AAAACACUUGUGGACGUAAAGCAGAUGAAUCCUUAAACUUUUAAUCUCAGUAAAUUAUGCUCAAUACACAGGCAAGAGAAGCCAAUUUUGGGAGCAUGCUCAUUGUGAUACCCUCAGUGUUACAUUUCCUGAUGCUGUGCCGGAAUACCUGGGGUACUUUCUGAAAUGAGGAGGAAGAACCUUUCUAAAACUAUCUGAUUACUGUUUCAAUACAUACUCGUCAGGGCUGAGAUUGUAACUGAUCAGUGAAAGAAAAAAAUUCAAAAGAAAAAGGAAACUGAAGAAGUUAAUUGUACCAGAGCAGAAUCCAGCGAAGCUGAACGGCUUCCCGAAGAGCACUGAGUUUUCUAUACCAGAUUCUGCUCCAGUGGCUAGGACCUUUAUGGCUGCUGUUUCUUUUGCUCUGGGCUCUGAUGGAAGAAAAAAAAAAAAAAAAGCCACCGUGGAUCCCGUCCCUAAAGUAGAAAUUUUCUUUUUCCUUCUGCAAACAAGGCUAAAGAUCGGAGGAGAAUGAAUACGAAAGUAAUUUGGGAUCGUGGUUGUGCCAUUAAAAGUGUUCGGCUUCAGAAAGAAAUUGUUUGGGAAAUCCAAUUAUUUCUUCUCACUGUAUCGACAGUAUUUGAAAGUUGUGUGUUCUUUGAGUAAUCUGGUGCAAGUGACAACAAUCUCCGCAUGCCAGUAUUUUCUACAGUUUAUGGAGCGAAAGCUUGCUUUGACAUUGAAAGGAAGAAGCUUUUGCUAGCAGUCUGUAGAAGGAUUAAAUGUUGAACGUGGGGAAGAGGCAAAAAGUGAAUACACGCCCAGAGGUUAUCCUUGCAUCGAGAAGGGCUCUAAAGUACUCUGUAACCUAGGGCCCACCUGAACAGGAGGACUGAAAGUAUAAAGGGGAAAUAUUGCAAUUAGAAACCCCUUCACAUGCAUUUAAUCCUUCUUUAAGGCAUGAAAGGAAAUAGAAUCAAAUCGUUACUGUACGAAUCUGCUGGAAGAAGCAGGUUUUAACCCAUUUUUAGACGCUUCCUUCCGAUGCAUUGUAAUAUGGCUACUUGUGAGUCAAGGCAGUGAAGAUUUUUGCUGUGCUCUUUUCUUUUUGCUUUCAAAAGUUAAGGACUGUAAGAAAAGUCUGUUCAGUCAGCUGAUACAUUGUCUUGAAU
rnacentral:lncRNA from 7 species